rnacentral:rRNA from 1 species
UAGGGAAUCUUCGGCAAUGGGGGCAACCCUGACCGAGCAACGCCGCGUGAGUGAAGAAGGUUUUCGGAUCGUAAAGCUCUGUUGUAAGAGAAGAACGUGUGUGAGAGUGGAAAGUUCACACAGUGACGGUAACUUACCAGAAAGGGACGGCUAACUACGUGCCAGCAGCCGCGGUAAUACGUAGGUCCCGAGCGUUGUCCGGAUUUAUUGGGCGUAAAGCGAGCGCAGGCGGUUUAAUAAGUCUGAAGUUAAAGGCAGUGGCUUAACCAUUGUUCGCUUUGGAAACUGUUAGACUUGAGUGCAGAAGGGGAGAGUGGAAUUCCAUGUGUAGCGGUGAAAUGCGUAGAUAUAUGGAGGAGCACCGGUGGCGAAAGCGGCUCUCUGGUCUGUAACUGACGCUGAGGCUCGAAAGCGUGGGGAGCAAACAGG